ACACGGAGGGUGCAAGCGUUAAUCGGAAUUACUGGGCGUAGAGCGCACGCAGGCGGUCUGUCAAGUCGGAUGUGAAACUCCCCGGGCUCAACCUGGGAACUGCAUUCGAAACUGGCAGGCUAGAGUCUUGUAGAGGGGGGUAGAAUUCCAGGUGUAGCGGUGAAAUGCGUAGAGAUCUGGAGGAAUACCGGUGGCGAAGGCGGCCCCCUGGACAAAGACUGACGCUCAGGUGCGAAAGCGUGGGGAGC
rnacentral:rRNA from 1 species